CUCCUUUGACGUUAGCGGCGGACGGGUGAGUAACACGUGGGUAACCUACCUAUAAGACUAGGAUAACUUCGGGAAACCGGAGCUAAUACCGGAUAAUAUUUCGAACCGCAUGGUUCGAUAGUGAAAGGUGGUUUUGCUAUCACUUAUAGAUGGACCCGCGCCGUAUUAGCUAGUUGGUAAGGUAACGGCUUACCAAGGCGACGAUACGUAGCCGACCUGAGAGGGUGAUCGGCCACACUGGAACUGAGACACGGUCCAGACUCCUACGGGAGGCAGCAGCC
rnacentral:rRNA from 1 species